rnacentral:rRNA from 1 species
AAAAGGGUGGUAAUGCCGGAUGCUCCAUCACACCGCAUGGUGUGUUGGGAAAGCCUUUGCGGCAUGGGAUGGGGUCGCGUCCUAUCAGCUUGAUGGCGGGGUAACGGCCCACCAUGGCUUCGACGGGUAGCCGGCCUGAGAGGGCGACCGGCCACAUUGGGACUGAGAUACGGCCCAGACUCCUACGGGAGGCAGCAGUGGGGAAUAUUGCACAAUGGGCGCAAGCCUGAUGCAGCGACGCCGCGUGAGGGAUGGAGGCCUUCGGGUUGUAAACCUCUUUUGUUAGGGAGCAAGGCAUUUUGUGUUGAGUGUACCUUUCGAAUAAGCACCGGCUAACUACGUGCCAGCAGCCGCGGUAAUACGUAGGGUGCAAGCGUUAUCCGGAAUUAUUGGGCGUAAAGGGCUCGUAGGCGGUUCGUCGCGUCCGGUGUGAAAGUCCAUCGCUUAACGGUGGAUCCGCGCCGGGUACGGGCGGGCUUGAGUGCGGUAGGGGAGACUGGAAUUCCCGGUGUAACGGUGGAAUGUGUAGAUAUCGA